rnacentral:sRNA from 1 species
GCCAGGCAUCCUGGCGCACGCCUGUAAUCUCAGAGGCUUGGGAGGCUGAGGCAGGAGGAUUGUGAGUUCAAAGACAGCCUCAGCAAUGGCAAGGCACUAAGCAACUCAGUGAGACCCUGUCUCUA